UGAGCUGCUUGUUUGUUUUUGAAUGCUCAUUAGGCGUGUUGUUAUUGUUGUGCAGGUUCGAGGCCGUGACUCGUUUUGCCGGGCUGAACCCGCUGCUCUACUACGAUGACAGCCACAUCGGCACCAUCACUCUUCUACAAGCAAGGAUUAAGAGUCGCUUGAAUUUCCCUCAUGUGUACUGAUGUUCCCUCCUAAUAUACAGCACCUUUUUGCUGUUUGGAGAUUUUGCCAGGGUGAAGGUUUGGAUACUGUUGGUGAAGGGCUUGAAAUUCUGAAAAACAUGGUAGCUGCUGAUAUAAAUUCGGUCGCUUUUUUCUAGUUGAACGAUGGUAGGAAUCACAUGAAUUUUACUCUUGUGGUGCUUCCGGCUUCCCUGCUCCGUUUGCUAUUUUGGUAUAUUCCAAGAUGCAUAAUUUGAGAUGAUUCCUGUAGAUUUUAUUUCAUGUGUUUCAUUUGAUGGUCAUUAUAAUUACCAAACUUGCUAGAUGCAGAUUAAUAUUGUGAAGUAUAUAUAGUCCAUUAAAAUCCUAAUAUUUUCUCGAAGCUGAACCAGUUCGAAAAUGAUUGCUAUUCAUUGAAUCUUUGUGCUUGUGAUUUGACAUAAUUUAAUAUUGAUGCCUUUUUCUUGCUCCACUUUGUUUCUUGAUUUAGCUGAACUAGUACAUUUGUUGUUUCUUAAGGAAUAAUGUUAAUUGUCCCUGGUUUCUGUAUCAUGGAUUAUUUAGAUUACCAUGAUAAGUAUCCGUACUUAUGUAGGAUCAGAAUGCACAUACAUUUGUUUUUGGUUCCUUAUUUAGUUUGGUAUAUGUACUUGAGCAUCUCUGUGAGUAUAGGUGCAUGCACUGCUGGUAUGAUCCAAUCGUCGCAUGGUUCCGUUUGAUCCAAUCGUCGCGCGCUUCCGCGAUCAUGCUUGAACUGUUGUGUACAAUAUCGUCGCCUUAUUAUUUUGCAGUCCUUUCGAAAUAUCUGUAUUUGCUUUGCUUAUCAUGCUCUGUUUAUUUUGUCCGAGGAUAACGAGGAGGACUGAGCGACCGUAGUGGCCCCUUCUUCUUCGACUCCAUGUGUUUUAUGGGUUCGAGGCUGUGAUUCACUUUGCUGGAAAAUCAAUGGCGGCCCGUGCCCAGCAGCCCCCGCACGUCGGCGGUCCGGUCUGGGUAGGUCCGGCCGUACCGGCUCCGACGACGACGGCCUCCCUCGUCGGCAGGCUGCGCGGCGUGAGAUACCUCCUGCUGCUCCCGGCCGAAGGUGGGCUGGUCCGGUGAGACCCGGCUCCUCCAGGUGCGCCAGCGCUGCCUGGAAAGGGAGGCCGACCUCCCUUCUCCACACACGGACCACCUCCCUGCCACGAACUCCGAACUCCUGCUGUUGCAUGCCGGUAAGAAGAGGAAAGACACUAUCUGCAUUGUCCUUGCGCGCGGAGGACACUUAUGAGGAGCCUAAAGUUAGGAUGGAAAAGGUCGUAGGAAGAACCUGACGUGAAAUAUGGGAAUUGUAUCCGCACUCAUCCAAUUGGUGAUACAGUUGAAGGCAUUACUGAAAACUAUUUGAUGCCUUCUUGAAAUGGUUCAUGUUUGGGUCUGGUGGUGGUACAAGCAGCCCAAGGCGGUGGUGGUGAUGGCGAGGAUGGAUCAGGAAGGAGCCCACUCGGUCUGCGCCGGGGACGGGAACGAUAACUACCCGCAGGGUAUGAUUACUGGCCACGUGUAUUACUUCCUGGAAGAUGUGAACCCUCUGGUGACUGGCCAGCAUCCUGUGAAGACUCCUUUGUUCAUCAAGACUGAUGUUUGCUGACAACAAUCUGGUCGUGGCUUGGCCAACCAACGCCGGGCUCGGUCCGGGUGCAAGGUUUGGUUCUAUGGAGUAUGUACCCACAGUUCCAAUGAUCACCCGAUGUCCAUGACAUGCGACAGAUCUAGGAAAGCGAAUUCUUUUAUUCCUUCAUAUUGUGAGGUUGUGCGAUGCAAGGUCCGCGUGUACUUAUGCAUGCUAGAUCAUAGUUAUUGUGCAUAACGAAGAUAUGUGACUGGCAAGGACAACGACGAGCCAGGGUAGCUGUGACAUGUAGCUGCUGCAGCUUAGUGCAUCUGGGGGAUAGUGGACGUCGUCAUCUUAUAUGCGCCUUGGUCGUCGAACAAUCU